AUCUCCUUCCUUAGAGAUUUUUACAGUCAGGCUUGACAAAGCCCUAGCUGGGAUGAUUUAGUUGAGGAUUGGUCCUGCUUUGAGCAGGGGGUUGGACUAAUGACCUCCUGAGGUUUCUUCCAACUCUGAUAAUCUAUGAUACACCUGUGUUUCUCAAUCUUUUUGAUACCCAGGACCGACUUGCUGCCUUCCUAAACUGUCAGGGAGAUCUCAGGGACUGGCGCUGGUCCAGGCCUGGUCAUUGAGAAACACUGCUCUACACAACUACAAUGGACAGGAAUGUCUUUUAUUAUUAGGAAAGCCUGGUAGUUGGAUCUCUAUAGAAAGGCUUUUAAUUCUCAGAAUUUGGGUAUUGUCUGUGCUGACAGUCGUACUGUUGCAGCUCGUAUCUCUUACAUGCCAAAACAUCAGAAUCUAGGGCCUAGGCCCACUAGCUAUUGCAUUGUCCCCUACAACGAGGAUACUGGAGGAGUGUGCCUUUCUGACAGCCGAAGCUGCAAGCAAAUCCUGUUGCUGGAGGGUGAUCCAGGCUCUCGGGAGAUCCUUAGUGUGCUGUGUGUGCUCCCUCCCCUUUCUAUUAGCCAAUUGGCUGCUGCCUUGCAUAGUAGGUAGGUUUGGCAAAAUGCACCUGUAGAGCUGCCCCGUAGAUCAAAUCAUUCCAUUGGGACUUAACUACUAUAGGAUGCUACCACAUCUAGCCUUGAUUCCCAGAAGGAAUGCAGUUAAUCAACAGGGUGCUCUAAGGGCUGCUCUGUACCUGAGUGGGGAUGUGCAGAGUAGCUGGAAGUGCUGCUGUCCUGCAGAUAUAGGAGUAAAGAGGAACUCGUGGCCGGGGAAGGAGGUCGCUCAGGAUUUGUCUUUAUUGGUGCAUUGAGUUCUUAAUGUAACGCACCAUCUUGAAAGCCUUCAGGUUCAGCGUUCCUCCCUGGAUCCCCUUCUGGCCCACUAGGAUGAGGCACACUGGGUUGGCCAGGGCAACAGUAAUGGCAUAGGUGCAGGUGUCACUGUUCUCCUCUUGCCGUUUGGUCCGGAGGUCCAUGGUGUAAUUGUGGGUGUCUGUGUAGAGAUUGUCCCGGAUCACCAGACACCUGAGCCCACCCAGCGUGGUUCCCUUGGUGAGAAGUGUGUCUCUAUUCCUACCCAGGAGCACUUGGAUCUCCAGCUGAGUCAUGUUUGCCAGAAUCCCACCUGGGUGGGCAGCCAGGAGCUGCUGGUGAGCCACGGAGAUCACUGCUGCAUCGCAGCACAGCCCAUCUCUCAUCAAGCUGCUGAUGUACUCCUGCCAGCCCGACAUCCUGUGAUCUGUGGAGCAAUGUGUGCAGCUAUGCCCACCUUGCUGACACGGAAAGGUGGAGAGGAAGGUUCCUCUUAACGUCUCUGAUGGUAAGGAGGUCCCUUGUUCUAACCUCCAGCUUGGUCUCAGAAGGGCAAGGCACACAUUCAGUCCAUACAGUCUCUUUCCAUGAAUGAAUGGCUUAUUUAAGGCCAAGAGGAGGGGGAGGCUCUUACUACUGUGACAACAUGCGCUUCCUCCCAAGCACAGUGUAAAUCCCUGGUGCUCACCAAACAAGGAUGUCUUCAAAGCUAGAUUUCCAGAUGCUAAGAUCCUGCACUGUUUUUUCUCAUCUGCACUGAGCAACCUCCACCAACACCCCAAGCAGCUGGACCCUGGGUGUGAAGGCUUAGCUGCCCUCCAUGGCUUCUGAUCUCAACCCGGGAAACAAGCCAGUGCUAUGACGACAAUGAGAUCAUUUCUCCCUGUGAUGUCACAGUGCAUCCUAACUGAUGUCUGUCUAGUAAGUUGAUUCAUCCUUUGCUGUGUAUUCAGGAUUCUCCUUAACAUUCAUUUUCCUUUCUGCCCUACUUGAGAGAACAUGUACUGGUGUAGUUGUCAGGUCCUAAUCCACCAGUGCACUCUUGCUAUGACCUGCUCUAGCUCCUGUGUGGGAAACUCCUCCAUAGCCAGUGCUUCUAUAGCAGCUUUUACAUUCUGGACUUACUCUGUAAGGAAGCACCACCCCAGAGAUCACCAACCCUUCCACCCCAUGGAAAAAUGUCCUACUGCAACUAGCAUGCAGGGCUUCCUGGAUCGCCGCUGACCUACACCCUCAUCAGUUUGCUACUGUUCUGUCCCACCUGUGUCAGUUUCAUCUGUUCAGAGAUGCUGGUCUAGGGUGGCAACCCUAUUGCCUCACAUCCAGUGCUCCUUUGGCUGCCGGGUUUUGGAGCAGUGCAGCAGCCAGGGGAAGGGGAGGGCAUGGGACUGUUUUCUGCAAGAAGAGAAGGAGCAAUACUCAAGAAUUUACAAAUGAAAAUAGAGGCUGAAGGGGGCUGUGAGCAAAUGCCUGAUUUAUUACAUAGACAAGCUGGGUGAGAUAAUAUAUUUUAUUGGACCAACUUCUGUUGGUGAGAGAGACAAGCUUUUGAGCUGCAUCAAGCUUGUUUUAAUCUAUUACACGUCUGCAGUUCUUACAAGCUGGUUUCCCUGGGUGUUAGCAGCAAUCUACAUGGCAAAGGUGGAGUGAAAUAGCUAAACUAACUGAGAAGACAGCAGGGACUGGGCUCUUCAGACAGCAGCUGAAGCAUUCAGUCUGUCUCUGAUUUGUAGCUAACGGUGAAUGUGCCCUCUAGUGUUAGAAGCUGGAGUGACUUUCUUGAGCAAUCGCACCAGGGAAGGGAGGUAGCAGGAAGCAACCCUGAGCCUAUCACUCUCCCCAGAGGCUAAGGAAGCUUCUUCUCUCUCCAGAGGGCUGGGUUGCAAGUAGGGGAACGGCAAGGAAGAGUUUGACAUUGCCCUUUCUUCCCUGCCUUCUGCAGGUCUGUACCCUGCUGGCAGUGAUUUAUUAGCAAUGGGGAAAUGUUGACCCCAGCUGAAGAAGCAUGCUGCAAAAAGGUCCUGGCCCCUUGCACAAGCAGCAUGCAUGCUACUGUGACCCCUGGCUGGCCAUAACUGGUGGCCAGCUCUAGAGAGGGUGUGAAAUAUUUCCAUGCCCAUGGAGGGGAAUCUUUCUCUCUCCUACCCCUGGCUUUCUUCCUGGCAGCACAGAACUGAGGGUAGAAACAACCUAUUGCUGAAGGACGAAUGCCCUGUCCUAGGAGCUUUAGCCAAGUGCCUCCAAGCACAGGACUGGAUCUCCAAUGGAAGUGCUGCAGCUGGGGCUAGAGGAUAGCUAAGGACUGAAUGAGCAUAGAGGACAAGUCCUAUCCUCCCCCACUCAGCCAGAGGAGUACACCCAUAGAGGCAGUCCCUUUAAUGGCAGGAUAGGGAUGCACCAGCUCCCACUAAGUGUAGAUGAGGUCUCAACACUGCAGUCAUCUGUUUCGGCCAACUGGAACUUGAUGUAGCUUCCAGUAUGACAGCUAUCACCUGAUCUGCCAUGCAGCCCACAGCAGUAAGGGUGCUUAGCCAGCCAGCUAAGGUGUAGUUAGCUCUUCCGUAUCUACCCUCUGCUUCCACUCUACAUUUUGCUGCCCCAGUAUGCUAGUACAAAUGGUUGCUGCUCUUGUUUUCUUUCCCUGGGAAUUAUUUUCUCUAGCUUAGUGCAAGCCAGGACAGCGCCUUCCUUGCCAGCUUCACCUUGCUGUAGUGUCUGCUCCACGAGGAUCUCCAAGCACCUCACAAACAUUACUGGUGGGGAAACGGAGGCAGAGUGCGGUGAAGCAUCUUGCCCACGGUCAGAGAGAAGCCAUGUGGCAGAUAGGGAGCGAGUACCUAGAUCUCCUUGGUCGCUGUGUUUAUCCUUUAACCAACUGGGCCACUCUCUUUCUCCUAGCUGUCCUAGCUGUCUUGUUCAUAAAAUACAUCCACUAUGGGUACUAAGCUGGUGCAGAUUGUGCAUUACUACUAGUGCUCUGUUCCCAGUGCACCAGGAGGUGUACACCACUCACCUGCUGCACCCCCUCUUCUGAAGCAAUUAAACUUCCUUCUCAUAUAACUGGGCCCAAUCCAAGAAGAAGAAAUAAAUUUCCUCCUUUCAUUUACUCAUUUUGCUUUGUUUUUGUUAGCUUAGAUGUGAUUCCUCCCCUCUCCCUUAUUCAUUCCUCCCCACCCAUCCAUUACUGCUCAGCCAGAACUGAGCCAAGGGCUUGUAGGCUGCUGUGUUCCUCCAGGCCACCUUCCUGCUUCCAGUCUGCCAGGAACGCUGGGAACAGAGCAUCCCAGACCACCUCUGCAAGUGACAUUCUCCAGCCUUCUGGCACAGGCAAACUGGACUGGCCAGCGCGUCAAUCCAGCGCUGUCUCCUUCAGCAUCGGGGUAGUUACCAUUACCCCAUUAGCCAUCUUCAUCUUCCCCAGGGCAAACAUCGGUCCAGCUGCGUGAGUGGUUGCAGCCUCUCCUCCACUGCCCGGAGGCAAAAUCAGAGCCUACUCUUUGGGUUGGCCUGGUCCUAAGCUUCAAGCUGCUUUUUAUGCCUAUUUCCAUUCUGCAUCCUUCCACCCUACUGAACCUGCCCAUAGUGGGUCCCAUUUCCUCAGCCUCUUGGUGUAUCUGCAGUGACCCUCAGUCUUUGCUCAUUCUCUAGCUAUAGAGGGUGGGGGUUAGGAGGAAACCUGGCCCACGGGGAAGUUAUCCCAUAAAUGCCUUCUGCAGAGUAUCUUGCACUUUCCUUUGUAGCAGCUGCUGUCAGAGGCAGGACUAGUUGGCUGCUGGGAUUUGAUCCAAUAGGGUAUUUAUUCUGUUCACCCCACUGCAGCCUCUACAGACCUUGCAGCCUCACUACCUGGGCAAAGGGGUUUGCCUAGGUCUCUGACACAUAACAGGAGGCAGCGACAUGUCUCCUGAGGGCUGGAAGCAAUGUGUUCUGUGCCAAAGCACUGAAUGAGAUGGGAGAGAGUAUUGGCUCUGGAAGAAACCUCAGCCAUAUCCCAUAAGGGGGGAAAGAGGUGUGGCUUGCCAGAGUAACUAUGAAGAGACCACCCCAUGCUAUGAUGCAGGAGAGAGGGGGUCCUGCUGCAGGAGGGGGAAGUGAAGGCAGUAGGUCAAGCCCCACCUGUCCGCAAUGGAGUCCCCACUAUCCUACAGCAUCUGGGUGAUUUGCUUUAUCUGCUGCUUGUGGAAGUAGUCACGGGCAUGUGAUAGAUAGCAGCAUCCCUGCACCGCUCCCACAGGUCACUGCUCGAGUAGCUGGCUGUUUUCUCCAUCAGCUCCUUCAGGUUCAUAGCACUGCUGGAGGCACGGCUGGUGCCUGUGCCAACAUGCCAACCUGACCAUUCUCACCCCCAGGCUUGGGUCCUGACGCCAGCCUCAUCCAGAUGGGGAGAGAGGUGGUACUUUGAACUGGGCACUGUGAGUGGCUGACCCUUCCCUAUGCCGUUGGGCCCCUCUUGCUAAUACGGCCAUGACUCUCAGCUUUGCUAAUCCUGCUGUAGGGGGGUUAUCUUCACCCUGGCUUCUUCCACUGCUUUACUACUCAUAGACUGCGGGAAAUUUGCAGCUUCCUCUGAGCAGUAACUCACUCAGCCUGGCAAACAUAAGUCCACCAUUAACCCUUUGGAGGCUGAUGCUUUCCCAGAUGUUUACAUCCUUGAGGACUGUGCAGUUGCUCAGGGUUUGGCUGGGGAAUAAGAUCAGGGCAAGGCCCUGGCAUGGAGAAAAUCCUGGUCCCGCCACACCCCAGCUGGUAAACCCCUACCCUAUGUGCACCCAUCCUGUUGCUGGGGCCUGACUCCUUUAUCAAAGUGCAUCACAUUGGGCAGGGGUGGGGAGAAAGUGGCCCACAGGUGAGCAGCAGUGGAGGGAAUGUGGGUCAGCAGGCUGAGGUGGGUAUUUUCCUGAAGGGAGCAGAACCCCAAUGACCAACCUGCUGCUGUUUCUGCUGGGAUGAAGGGUUGGCAGCCAUCUGCGUACGUGGCCACUCUUGCUCAUCCCAGUGUAGCUGGGGCUUUACAGGAGCUGGUGUGGGAACACAAUGUAGGCUAUCCAUUGCAUGAUGCAUGGGGUAUGCUCAUCUCCCCUGCCUCCCGCCUCUCUGAUUGGGGAGAACUUUGCAUUGUCAAUGCAAGCUGUUUCCUUCUUCCCACCUGCCACCCGUGGGCUGGUCACUCUUGGAUCAUGGGCAUCUUGCCUUUUGGGAGGCCGUGCCCCUUGCCAGGCCACAGGUCUGUGCUGAACAGAGCAGAGAACGGCCUCCUGAGCACAAUGCAGAAGGAGCAAAGUGCAGAGACGCAUAUUUAUUAUGGUCAGAAUGAGCUUCAGAAUAUCCUGCUGCUGCCUCAGCAUCUGCAGGGAGAGAGGAGGACAGAGCGUGAGUGUUGGGGUGCUGGGGGUGGGAAGAUGUUUUCUUAUAGGUAGACCGAUCUGGAAGGUGGCAGGCGUCCUCCUCAGGAUGGCAGGGUCCACACUCACUCCAAGCACCAUCACCUUCGAUGCAAUCAGACACACAGAUUACGUGUUACCAGUUGCAGCCUCUGAAUCAUGGAUCUGGUGGGAAGUGCUGGGAUUUGAUCUGCUGCAGCUCCCCCUAGAGGUGACAAACUGGAACAACAAAGCACCAAGCCAGCUGCUCCCUGUUUACCUAUUUUAUCAAUGAGGAUGAUGCAGAGCUGGAUCUUGGUGACCAGUAAGAAAACAGCUGCUUUGAGCUUCUGUGAUUCCCUGUACCACUUGUCAGCCAGGGACGACGCCUGCAGGUGUAUAAACUGGCACCCUGAGGCCUGCGCGAUUGCCUUGGCAAAACGGGUCUUCCCACAGCCAGGGGAGCCAUACAGAAGACCCUGCAGGGGGAGAUACAUCAGCACCGCCUCACAAGCUGCCCUUUUCCAUCCCUGAGAGCCCACUCAUACCAGGCUAAAAUCCCAAAGAAGUGCUCAGCUAACUGGGCCCCAUGUGACCAUGCUGGAACCAGUAGGGGAAGGGAGCUACACAGCCUCUGAAGCAAACAGAUUCCUAGCUAGAUGCUCUCCUUGUUUGCAUUGGAUGGGCAGGCCCCUCUCCCAAUGAAAAGUGCUCUGCUGCUAUUGGAGAUGUCCCAGCCUAGUGGGGAUCCUUGGGGACUGUUAUCAGCCCGAGUGAACAUCAGGCCUUGGGGGUGAAUGAAUGUCCCAUUCAGCCUUGCCUCCUUUGGCAGGAAAGGGUGGCUCUGUGCAGAGAACUGCUAGAUCUUCAUUGAUUAAAACCCCAGGAAGGGAAAGGGAGGGUCCAUUCCUAACCCUGCCUCAGAGCUCAGGCUCCUAUUAGUUCAGCCUCAGUUUGAGAGUGGGGAGAACAAGGCACUUUUCUAUCCUCUCCCUACCCCACCUAUCACCGAAUCAAUUAAUUUACAUUUCCCCAUCGACAGCUACAACUUUGAUUGAUCAUUUACCUUUUUUUAAAAAAAAUAGUUCUUUCCAAACAGAUGAUUAUAGUUGAGCAUGAAUAGCUGGUAAUUGGGAUUAAAUAGUGUGUGGGUAAUUCAUUAUUGAUUAUAUGUGGGGGCAUUAUGGAAGACUUCCCCUCUCUAUCUAUUCCAUCUCUCUCAGCAUGCUGCCACCUCCUUAUUCUGGGUCCAGCAAGGAAAGCUUCCCCAUCUUUCCUAUUGCUAUUUAGAAACCCACCUAUCAUUGUGACCUUUUAGUCCCAAAUAAACAAAAGGCCUAGGAAGCUUUCUACAGCCCAGUCCAUAAAAGCGAAGGGUGCAGGGGGAUUUAGGUUUGCUCCAGAUAGAUCCUGCCUCCCCACAAAAAGAUCUGAAGUGUGAGUAGGUCAAUUUACCCUCACUAAGAACUGCAUGUAGCAUAUUCUAUUUCUUAAGGGGGAAUAAAGGACAGAAUUUCCAUUUAACUCAAGUAUGGUUUAAAAUUAAAGGUACUGGAUUGUGACAUUUUGUUUCCUGUAGAUAUAAUUGUGAAACUGUAAGCUCUUUCUUUUUCUGUACAAUAAAACACGGGUUGAAAGUC